AACGUAGGAGGCGAGCGUUAUCCGGAUUUACUGGGUGUAAAGCGCGUGCAGGCGGUUGGCUAAGUUGGGUGUGAAAGCUCCUGGCUCAACUGGGAGAGGUCGCUCAAGACUGGCCGACUGGAGAGCAGUAUGGGGAAGGUGGAAUUCCGGGGUGUAGUGGUGAAAUGCGUAGAUAUCCGGAGGAACACCAGUGGCGAAGGCGGCCUUCUGGACUGCUUCUGACGCUCAGACGCGAAAGCUAGGGGAGCAAACGGGG
rnacentral:rRNA from 1 species